UCGGCUUGGAAGACGAAUUAAAUAAAGCAAAGAACAGAGAAAGAGAGAGAGAAGAAAAGGCCUGUGGAGCUUUGAGUAGGAAUUGAAAAGGUAAGGGAAUGAUUUGGUUAUUGAAGCACCAUAAUUGGAAGUGGGACCAAAGUUUUUGACCAGUGAUUUUGAGCCGUCUGAUAUUGAGCAAUCCAUGAUCAAUUUUAAGGUCAACAUCGUCAUGUAAGCUUUAUGACAAGGCAUAAUAAGAUUGCUGUGUUUUAUAUUGGUGUAGGGGUGGGACCCUAACACGUGACAUAUGUCCUUGCAUUGGGACCCUUUUCCCUUGUGGCAAAAAAAAAAAAAAAAAAAAAAAAAAGUAUNAAAGACCUCUAAUAAUGUAUAAAGGCGUUUACCGAUUAAAAAAAUAAAUCAGAAAAAUAAUGGUGGAAAGACUUGUUUUUCUUU